rnacentral:tRNA from 1 species
GGAGUUGUGCCCGAAUCUCAAGGGCCACUUUGAUAGAGUGACAUAUAGGGGUUAAAGUCCCCUCAACUCCC